rnacentral:rRNA from 1 species
UACGGAGGGGGCUAGCGUUGUUCGGAAUUACUGGGCGUAAAGCGCACGUAGGCGGCUUUGUAAGUUAGAGGUGAAAGCCCGGGGCUCAACCCCGGAACGGCAUCCGAUACUGGCGGGCUUGAGACCGGGAGAGGAGGGUGGAAUACCCAGUGUAGAGGUGAAAUUCGUAGAUAUUGGGUGGAACACCGGUGGCGAAAGCGGCUCUCUGGCCCGGAUCUGACGCUGAGGCGCGAAAGCGUGGGGAGCAAACAGG